GACGAACGCUGGCGGCGUGCUUAACACAUGCAAGUCGAACGGAAAGGCCCUGCUUGCCGGGUACUCGAGUGGCGAACGGGUGAGUAACACGUGGGUUAUCUGCCCUGCACUUCGGGAUAAGCCUGGGAAACUGGGUCUAAUACCGGAUAGGAGCCAUUUUUAGUGUGAUGGUUGGAAAGUUUUUUCGGUGUAGGAUGAGCUCGCGGCCUAUCAGCUUGUUGGUGGGGUAAUGGCCUACCAAGGCGGCGACGGGUAGCCGGCCUGAGAGGGUGGACAGCCACAUUGGGACUGAGAUACGGCCCAGACUCCUACGGGAGGCAGCAGUGGGGAAUAUUGCACAAUGGGCGCAAGCCUGAUGCAGCGACGCCGCGUGGGGGAUGACGGCCUUCGGGUUGUAAACUCCUUUCGCUAGGGACGAAGCUUUUUGUGACGGUACCUAGAUAAGAAGCACCGGCUAACUACGUG
rnacentral:rRNA from 1 species